GAUGAACGCUGACAGAAUGCUUAACACAUCAGCAAUUGAUUGGUGGCGGACGGGUGAGUAACGCGUAAAUAACUUGCCUCACAGCUAGGGACAACAUUUGGAAACGAAUGCUAAUACCUAAUACUGUGAGAGAGCUUUGCGUCCAAGUAUCUAGUUGGAGAGGUAACGUCUCACCAAGGCGAUGAUGGGUAGCCGGCCUGAGAGGGUGAUCGGGCACAAGGGGACGGAGACACGGCCCGUACUCCUACGGGAGGCAGGAGUGGGGAAUAGUGGACGAUGUACCAAAGUCUGAUCCAGUAAUUCUGUGUGUACGAUGAAGUUUUCGGAAUGUAAAGUGCUUUCAGUUGGGAAGCGGUACCAACAGAAGAAGUGACGGCUAAAUACGUGCCAGCAGCCGCGGUAAUUC
rnacentral:rRNA from 1 species